ACUCAAAUGAAUUGACGGGGACUCGCACAAGCGGUGGAUCAUGUGGCUUAAUUCGUCGGUAAGCGAAGAACCUUACCAGGGCUAGAAACCAAGCUGCAUCCGACCCGAAAGGGACGGAGCCUUCGAGGGUGCUUGGCAGGUGAUGCAUGGUUGUCGUCAGUUCGUGGCUUGAGCUGUUCCCUUCAGUGGGGUAACGAACGCAACCCCCGUUGUCUGUUACUUAUGUCAGGCGAGACUGCCCCCUCACGGGGGAGGAAGGUGGGGAUGACGCCAAAUCAGCAUGUCCCUUGAUGCCCUGGGCUGCACACGUGAUACAAUGGUCGGUACAGAAGGACGCAAUACCGCAAGGUGGAGCAAAUCCCAAAAACCGACCCCAGUACGGAUUGAGGUCUGCAAUCGACCUCAUGAAGCCGGAAUCGCUAGUAAUCGUAGGUCAGCAACACUACGGUGAAUACGUUCUCGAGUCUUGUACACACCGCCCGU
rnacentral:rRNA from 1 species